AUUCUGCCUUGUUCGAGUUAAUAUAGUUUUUAUAAUCCAACACUUUUUAAUAGGGAAUUCGACUCCUGCUGUGGAUUGCAGACCUCCCGCUUGCGGACGAAGGGAGCGUGAAGCUUCAGGGCGUUUACCCACCUGCUUCGUGCGGGUUUUAUUCGCUAUAUGACGGCAAGGCGGAU
rnacentral:other from 1 species